AUAUACUUCAUAAUGUCAACAUUGAUUAAGAAACUGCUAUUUGCAGGUCAUUCAUUCAGCCCGAGCAAAUGCAACUCAUAAUCAUGGGUUAGACCCAGACCGUCUCCUUGUUGCCGAGGCUUUUGUUGGAAAGGGAUUCUUCAAAAAGAGACUGUCCUACCAUGCCAAAGGCAAAUGUGGAGUGAAAGUGAGACCAGAAUGCCGCCUUACGGUCGUAGUGAGGGAGAUUACCCCUGACGAGGAGGCAGAGAUAGCCAAACUGAAGGUUAAGAAUUUCAUUAAGAUGACUAAGCGCGAAAGAAAGCUUGUUCCUCACCAACUUAUUGAGACAACUCCAAUUUGGGGCCGCAAAGGCAGAAGUCGUGAUAGUGAACGAAAUGGUGAGGCUUCAUGAGCAAAGGUUCCUUCCCUUGCUUUCACAUUCUAAAAGAACGUUUUGAGACUCCUCGCCCUGUCCUUGCAUUUGGAUCAAAUUGUCGUGUUGAAUUGUGAAAGACGGAGUGCCACAGUAGGAGCAAACAUUGUUUCGUUUCUGGUAGCGGCUGCUCGCAGUUAUAAAUUUUUUCGCCAUUAUAGAUUUUAAACGCUUAAUAUGUCGAAUAUCAUUGCAGUCAUUUCUUAGUCGGCUUUUGUUGAGAAUAAAAGUUUGAAGUUUAGAAGGAAAUGCAGGAUUCUCGU